CUGGCUCAGGAUGAACGCUAGCGACAGGCUUAACACAUGCAAGUCGAGGGGCAGCAUAAAAGUAGCAAUACUUGGUGGCGACCGGCGCACGGGUGAGUAACGCGUAUGCAACCUACCUAUCAGAGGGGAAUAACCCGGCGAAAGUCGGACUAAUACCGCAUAAAACAGGGGCACCGCAUGGUGAUAUUUGUUAAAGAAAUUCGCUGAUAGAUGGGCAUGCGUUCCAUUAGGUAGUUGGUGAGGUAACGGCUCACCAAGCCGACGAUGGAUAGGGGAACUGAGAGGUUGGUCCCCCACACUGGUACUGAGACACGGACCAGACUCCUACGGGAGGCAGCAGUGAGGAAUAUUGGUCAAUGGGCGAGAGCCUGAACCAGCCAAGUCGCGUGAAGGAAGAAGGAUCUAUGGUUCGUAAACUUCUUUUGCAGGGGAAUAAAGUGCAGGACGUGUCCUGUUUUGUAUGUACCCUGAGAAUAAGGAUCGGCUAACUCCGUGCCAGCCGCAGC
rnacentral:rRNA from 1 species